UGCCAGCAGCCGCGGUAAUACAGAGGGUGCAAGCGUUAAUCGGAAUUACUGGGCGUAAAGCGCGCGUAGGUUGGAGAAUAAGUCUUAUGUGAAAGCCCUGGGCUCAACCUGGGAACUGCAUAGGAUACUGUUUUUCUAGAGUAUGGUAGAGGGAAGUGGAAUUUCCGGUGUAGCGGUGAAAUGCAUAGAUAUCGGAAGGAACAUCAGUGGCGAAGGCGACUUCCUGGACCAAUACUGACACUGAGGUGCGAAAGCGUGGGUAGCAAACAGGAUUAGAUA
rnacentral:rRNA from 1 species